rnacentral:tRNA from 1 species
UUCUCGGUGGCUGAGGAGAUAAGCACUAAAUUUUUAAUUUAGGGACAGCCUGAUAAAGACGGCUUCGGGGAA